rnacentral:piRNA from 1 species
UAAUGACAAUGGUGCUGUGUAAACCCU